rnacentral:tRNA from 1 species
GGGGCCGUAGCUCAGUUGGAUAGAGCGGCCGGUUCCUAACCGGCAGGUCGCAAGUUCAAGCCUUGCCGGCCCUA